CACGUAGGGCGCAAGCGUUGUCCGGAAUUAUUGGGCGUAAAGAGCUCGUAGGCGGUCUGUUGCGUCCGCUGUGAAAACUCGGGGCUUAACCCCGAGCCUGCAGUGGAUACGGGCAGACUAGAGGUAGGUAGGGGAGACUGGAAUUCCUGGUGUAGCGGUGAAAUGCGUAGAUAUCGGGAGGAACACCAGAGGCGAAGGCGGGCUACUGGGCUGAUACUGACGCUGAUGCGCGAAAGCCAGGGGAGCAAACGGG
rnacentral:rRNA from 1 species